GCUGCAAGCAGGGCCGCUCUGAGCAAGCAAGGGAGCCCAGAGCCGCUGUUGGCCCUGCCCACCAACUGGCCAGAGGGAAGGCCUUCUGUGAUUUGUGUGGGCUGCAUCAUUCCUCUCUCCAGAAGAUCUUCUCUCUUCUAAGGGCAUCAAGACAUUUUAGAGCCACUCAGCUCAGCUCCCAGCUUCCUUGAGAUCCCACGGCACCUGCAGCCCUGCUGGCCCAUUCUGCACUGCCCGCUCAUGAAGCUGUCUCUCCUUUCUUAGCCAGUAGUAAGCCUCCCCACCAGGCCCGUGGACUCCGUGGGAGGUGAGCUCCAGAAGGGAAGGGAGCUCGUUCACAGCUUUCUCUCUCUGUAUCUCCUGUGACUUGAAUGGACUCAGCACACAGCAGGCCUGAGUGAAGGAUGCUUGUGGUUGCUAUGGCUUACAUGACAACGAAUUGUCUGUAAUCCUACAGGACUAUGGCACAUGAAAGCUGGAAGCGCUUCUUUCCAACUGCAUCGCCCAGCACCAGAGCCCGAGUUCUGUAAAGCUCUGUUAAAGGCACAUGAGCUGUGCUGGCUUCAACUGCUCUGAACUUGGAUAAGCUGGGUCGCUGAUGGACCCUUCCCAACCAGUUGUUGCUGCCUUGGUUUCCCGACAGUCCACUGUGCUGAGCCUGCCGCAGGGACUCCCAGCUUUGCAUCAACUCCAUUCAACACCUACUGUGUGCAGGGACCAGAGGGUGUGGAGGUGGCAUUCCCUGCUUUAUCUUGAUAAGUAAACGUUUGUCUCCUGCCCACUCAUCAGUGAAGCAGAACAACUACGUAGCAGUCUCCUGGGAGCCACCCCUCCAGAACCUCUGGAUGUCAACAGACACCAUCUACUUAUGGGAUUCAGCCAGCACAUGUGUAGACUGGAGCUGCAAGUGAGAAGAGGCAUAUGGCAGGGCAUGCACAGGCCAAGCCUUAGGGACCCGAGGAGCUCAUCUGGGGCAGAUGGUCAUCAAAUGAAAGGAGUCCCUGGAAAAACUAUUACCUGGUCCCCACAGGAGUUAACCUGACUGCCCAAGUUCACCAGUCGGCAGCCUAGCGUGUCACCUUAAAAUUCAGUUCCAAAAGAUGGGCUGACUUCUCAUUUUAGAGAUGAAGACAGAGAGGCCCAGAGAGGGGCAGAGAUUCAUCCAAGGCAAAGCCAGGCAGAGCCAGUUGCCAUGGUUACUCUCUUUAAUGGAUGAGGAAGUUGAGGCACAAAUUGGGCUAGGAAACUUGCUGAAGGUCCCAUGGGCAGUAAAUGACAAAGCUAGGGUGGGAGUGAUCCUAAGAUGCUGCUCCCACCGACAACUGUGAACCAAUGUGAGGGCCCCGUCUCCCUCCCAGGGGCCUUGCUAGCCCAGGGCUGCAGACUCUUCCCAGCCACCCCUGCCCUGGAGAGUUAGGCCCGACAGACCACACCAGCUCGGGGAACAUAACAAAGGCCACGCGGAGGACAGAGUGGCCCGGCAGCGCCUCUGUGGACAUGCGACGCAGACAUCACAAGAUGAUUUAUGUAACCUCUUACAUAAUGGCAGCAUUUCUAUCAAAGACCAGCCCGCGGCAGGCUGUCAGCUGUAAUCAGAGUGGACGUGCUUCUUGCUUCCUGGGAACAGGAGGCACCAGGUCAAAGCCAACCCCUUUGGCUGCCAGGCCGAGGGCUUCCUGCGCUGGUGAAGUUGCCUGGUGUGGCUGUGCCCUCAGAGGAGGCAGAGACCUUGUAAUGCCCCAGAGUAGUCACAGCCCAGCUCAGCCAGCCCCAGCACCCCUGGCUGCCGUCCACCUCCAGUGACAGAGACCACUAUCAAUGUGAUCAAGUCCCACGCUGGAAGUGCUUUCAACCAUAUUAUUGUACCAUGAAAGGGAGACUGGCUUCAGACAUAAGAUCUUUGAACUCUGCCCCUACCUGGCUGUGUGAUCUUGAGGUAGUCACUCACCCUCUCUGGGCCUCAGUUUCCUGGUUGAAUUACAUCAUCAAUGCUUGACCUCUGUGCUGCACACAUGGGUAUUGAUACGGUGCUAUCAUGUGAUACGGUGCUAUAUGAUAGCGUGCCACAAGUCGGUGCUACUUAUAUUUGGCAAAUGAUUUGGUUUUUCCUAGUGUAAAUCCGAGCAGAUUCAACAUCAUAAAAUCAGGUAAGCCC